GGGUUGAAGAUAACACCUCUCCUAUGCAUCCCUUGGGAAAGCUGAAAAACAUGAGUGAAAACUCUACCAUCAUUUUCCUCGAAUCUUCACAGAGGUCC